rnacentral:tRNA from 1 species
GGGGGUGUGGCUCAGUGGUAGAGCGCCUAGCAUGUGUGAGUCCCUGGGGUUCAAUCCCCAGCACCUCAA